AUUGAACGCUGGCGGCAUGCCUUACACAUGCAAGUCGAACGGCAGCACGGGAGCAAUCCUGGUGACGAGUGGCGAACGGGUGAGUAAAGUAUCGGAACGUGCCCAGUCGUGGGGGAUAACGUAGCGAAAGUUACGCUAAUACCGCAUACGAUCUAUGGAUGAAAGCGGGGGAUCGCAAGACCUCGCGCGAUUGGAGCGGCCGAUAUCAGAUUAGGUAGUUGGUGGGGUAAAGGCUCACCAAGCCGACGAUCUGUAGCUGGUCUGAGAGGACGACCAGCCAGACUGGGACUGAGACACGGCCCAGACUCCUACGGGAGGCAGCAGUGGGGAAUUUUGGACAAUGGGCGAAAGCCUGAUCCAGCCAUGCCGCGUGCAGGAUGAAGGCCUUCGGGUUGUAAACUGCUUUUGUACGGAACGAAAAGGUUUGGCCUAAUAAGCUGAGCUCAUGACGGUACCGUAAGAAUAAGCACCGGCUAACUACGUGCCAGCAGCCGCGGUAA
rnacentral:rRNA from 1 species